rnacentral:lncRNA from 1 species
AGGAAGAAGGAAUAGACAACUGUCAUAGGGUAACUUCCCCAACAAUAAAAAUUCUCAAAUCCUGGCAUGUGUUACUCUGCAAGAGUCAAAAGCCAAACUUCAAGCCAUCUCAGCAUCAAAAGACCUUGGGCAAAUUUCCUUCAUUUGCCGGUCGUCAGACAUAAGAAACCUCAUUGUGGACUUGCCCAGUUCUUCAGACUCCUGGUUAUUCUUGUGCUGUUUCUUCUCAAUGCCGUCCUCCCCUCUAGUGAUGAAUGACAUACGAGGACGGUUGAGCAGGUGUUUAGUGUCUGCAGUCGGCAUGUUGGAGCAUGACUCGAAGGAGGAAAUUUGAAUCUUUCAUUUCUUACAGAAGAGGGAAACCAAAGGUAUGAUAGAUUCCCACAGGGAAUGUGCACUCUCUCUCUCUCUCUCUCUCACACACACACACACACACACACACACACACACACACACAUCCUGUUUUGUUUUUUAAAAUUUCCUCUUCUAGGCACUUCUGAAAA